rnacentral:tRNA from 1 species
GCCUCGAUGGUGUAGUUGGCUAUCACGUGGGUCUCAUAGUAAACCCACUAGCUUUCUAUUAAGCUGGAUGGCGCAACAACAUGAGGGCGCUUCGCGCUUGCAAUCCCGAGGUCGAGAGUUCGAUCCUCUCUCGGGGCA